rnacentral:rRNA from 1 species
UGCCAGCCGCCGCGGUAAAACCAGCACCUCAAGUGGUCAGGAUGAUUAUUGGGCCUAAAGCAUCCGUAGCCGGCUCCGUAAGUUUUCGGUUAAAUCUGUAUGCUCAACAUACAGGCUGCCGGGAAUACUGCAGAGCUAGGGAGUGGGAGAGGUAGACGGUACUCGGUAGGAAGGGGUAAAAUCCUUUGAUCUAUUGAUGACCAUCUGUGGCGAAGGCGGUCUACCAGAACACGUCCGACGGUGAGGGAUGAAAGCUGGGGGAGCAAACCGGAUUAGAUA